UCAAAAUGUAAAAAGCACUCAGCACAAUGCCUGACACAUAAUAAACCUUCUAUGUAUUGCAGAUCUAUCAAAUGGUGUUUAUUCAUAGAUAAAUCAAUUUUUUUGCAUUAAGAUUGAUCCAUUCUCCGUUAUCUUUCAUUUAAUUCAGACCACUGAUCUGUGUUUUUCCAUCAUGUAUAAUUAUAGUGUAGCCUAUACAAUUGCCUAGCCAGUACCUGCCUUUCCUAUUGAACUGCUCCUCCCAUUUCCACACAUCUGUCAUAUGAUGGCAGCAAGAAAAGCCUCGUUACUACUGACUGGCCAUUGGCCAAUUUGUCAAGAGAUGGACACCUGAUGUAAGAUGGGCCAAUGAAGCCAUUACUCCAAGAGUUUUAGAUUUCGGAAGGAAGGUCAUCUCAAGUCUCAGCUAGAUAUAUAAUCUGGAAGAUGUCAUUGAACAUCUUUUUGUUUUUAUUUUUGUUUUUGCCAAGAGGAAAAAUACAUUCUGCAUUGAAAAAGUAAAAAUCAAUGGACAAAGGGAGAAGAGGAUGAAGAAGGUGUCUUUGUUACACUGGAGUUCUCAGUUCCAGGUUUUCUGGAAUCUCUGCUUUUCUUUCUGCUUUGGGUUUCCUCUUCCAAGGCUUCUACCCAUAUUCUUCUAAUGUAUUCCCUAUUUUGCAUAAACUAAUUUCAGUUACUAUUUCAACUUUGCUCAUGGAAGGAGCUGGGAUAAAUUUUACACUCAUUACAACAAAUCUUGACUCUAGUAUCACAUGCAGAUAAAGUAAGUCAAAGCUUUACAGACACAAACUAACAGGUAUGUAUGUAUAUUUAAUGGUUUUAGGUUUAAGUCAGUCAUGCUCUGACAGAGUAGCAUGAACCAUAUAACGUCUUGGAGGUACCUUCUGUAUUUAUGACUCAUAGAUUCCCAUAUAUACAGUUCUAGAAAAACCAAACUGCUAGAUUUAGAUGCUCAUUUAAUUGCUUGUACAAGAAAAAGGAUAUUACGUUUUUUAUAACAGUUGAAAUGAAAGUUGAAUAAAGCGCAUCAGAUUUCCCCUAAUAUCCUUACAAUCAUCUUCAACUGCUGGAAUCAUCUUCCAAUGUUUUCUAGACAGAGCAGCACAAGUUACUCUCAUGCUUUAUAUUGCCCAGACUCCUUGCUAGUCAAGUUGAAACCAUGUUCCAGCCAAGGGGUUACAGACCGGAAGGU
rnacentral:lncRNA from 1 species